UGAAAGAGUGUGUGUUGUGGGUUAUGA
rnacentral:piRNA from 1 species